rnacentral:rRNA from 1 species
GAUGAACGCUGGCGGCGUGCUUAACACAUGCAAGUCGAACGAAGCACCUUGAUUUGAUUCUUCGGAUGAAGAUCUUGGUGACUGAGUGGUGGACGGGUGAGUAACGCGUGGGUAACCUGCCUCAUACAGGGGGAUAACAGUUAGAAAUGACUGCUAAUACCGCAUAAGACCACAGCACCGCAUGGUGCAGGGGUAAAAACUCCGGUGGUAUGAGAUGGACCCGCGUCUGAUUAGGUAGUUGGUGGGGUAACGGCCUACCAAGCCGACGAGCAGUAGCCGAACUGAGAGGGUGACCGGCCACAUUGGGACUGAGACACGGCCCAAACUCCUACGGGAGGCAGCAGUGGGGAAUAUUGCACAAUGGGGGAAACCCUGAUGCAGCGACGCCGCGUGAGCGAUGAAGUAUUUCGGUAUGUAAAGCUCUAUCAGCAGGGAAGAAAAUGACGGUACCUGACUAAGAAGCACCGGCUAAAUACGUGCCAGCCGCCGCAGUAA